UACGAAGGGGCUAGCGUUGCUCGGAAUUACUGGGCGUAAAGCGCACGUAGGCGGCUUUCUAAGUCGGGGGUGAAAUCCUGGAGCUCAACUCCAGAACUGCCUUCGAUACUGGAAAGCUCGAGUCCGGGAGAGGUGAGUGGAACUGCGAGUGUAGAGGUGAAAUUCGUAGAUAUUCGGAAGAACACCAGUGGCGAAGGCGGCUCACUGGACUGGUAUUGACGCUGAGGUGCGAAAGCGUGGGGAGCAAACGGGGAU
rnacentral:rRNA from 1 species